rnacentral:tRNA from 1 species
UGGCAGGUAGCUCAGUUGGUAGAGCUACUAAAACAUCCUGAUUCAACACUUGUCUGAAAAGUCCGACGAAUUAGGGUUAUCGCCUCUUAAGCGGGAUGCCGCAGGUACCCUCCGGGAAGCCGCUCCGCGUCUACGAUUCCUGCCCUGCCAC